UGGCCAGUUAAUGAUGGGUUGAUAUAUUCAUC
rnacentral:piRNA from 1 species